rnacentral:rRNA from 1 species
UACGUAGGGUGCAAGCGUUAAUCGGAAUUACUGGGCGUAAAGCGUGCGCAGGCGGUUUUGUAAGUCUGUCGUGAAAUCCCCGGGCUUAACCUGGGAAUGGCGAUGGAGACUGCAAGGCUAGAGUUUGGCAGAGGGGGGUAGAAUUCCACGUGUAGCAGUGAAAUGCUUAGAGAUGUGGAGGAACACCGAUGGCGAAGGCAGCCCCCUGGGUCAAAACUGACGCUCAUGCACGAAAGCGUGGGGAGCAAACAGG